ACAUAAAUUUUGUUCCGGUCGAAAGACGAAAGCUAUUUUGUUUAACAUUUUGUUCAAUACUAAUGCGGAUUAAGGGAGGUCAUUUUUUAGUUCUCUUUGUGGUUUUCUUAAUUAUUGGGAAAAACUCUUUCGGCUUUAUAUGUACCUACAAAUAUAAUAUCGGAUAUUGGAGACUGAAAAAACACGAACAAUAAAUUGUGAUAGUUUUUGUAUUUUCAAUAAACUAUUUUCAAU